GCCUUGGUGGUGUAGCGGUCUAGCAUAAUGGCCUGUCACGCCGUUGACUCGGGUUCGAAUCCCGACCAGGGCG
rnacentral:tRNA from 1 species